CCAAAGACAGAGAAAGACCAGAGGUUAUGGAAGGAGCAGAAAGGUGCAGCUUGAAGAAGUCUAGGUGCAGCUUAGGGUAAAAGAAGGCUGAAAUCGUUGACCAGUGGGCGAAUUCUGCUAGACGUCAGGGCUGGAGACGGUUGCUGCAGAUUCCAUGCCUGCCCAUGGAGAAGAGGACACAAGAAGCCGCCUUUGGCCUCUGUACACAUGAGGUCUUGCCAAGAGGUUAACGUGCAAACGGACUCUGCGCCUUUCCAUUUGACUGUGCACAUUUAUUUGCAGCAAAAUGAUGUAUGGAGAGGAAGGAUGAAACCAGCGCGGUGGGAAUUCUGGGAACCCGGGGAAACUUCCCCCAAUUUUGGCGCGUCACGCAGUUCCCGUGCGAGGCACCAGCGCUACCGAUGUCGCCAUUCACCUUCAAACAGACCCAUGUGCAGGAUCACGCUGCUCGAGGCAGACGUUCCCCCGCCCCCCUCUCUUCCCUGUGGCAGCUCCAUCUUUGCAGGAGACGGGUUGGACGAAGGGGCCGUUUUUAGCAGCGGCAGCAGCACCACCAAUCCCCUUCGCUGCGCCUUGCGCAGUCCUGCGCUUAAGCCAAAGCCUAGAAUCUCAACCCAGGUGGGCCCAUGCUCCACAAGCAGAGGAGCUGCCACAUGCAAGGGGUGGGGGUGGGGAAGCCCAAUGCCAUGCGCAGGGCACCCAUGCACCUCAAUGCUUCGAUGGAAGGCGUGGUUCAGAGGGUGGUUUUGGGCGAACAUGGUUUCCCCCUUUUUUUACCUGAAAUGACAUAAGAUGAGAGACUUUCUGGGUGAGGGCUCCAACCCUGCUAUCUCCCCCGUACACUUGUAACCCCGGCUCCAUCUUUACAAGUUUCUCAUUGCCACCAGCAUGGUCCCUAGAAGGUCAAAAUGUCAGACUUUGGAGGCUAUGCAAAUAACAAGAUGCAUUUCUCUUACAAGCAAACCCUGCCAUUAAAUCCUAGUUCCUUCCAAACUUAA